ensembl:lncRNA
UAGAAUUCUAAUAUGAAAACCACUGUAUGCUGUAAAGAUACAGUAGAAUUCUAAUAUGAAAACCACUGUAUGCUGUAAAGAUACAGUAGAAUUCUAAUAUGAAAACCACUGUAUGCUGUAAAGAUGCAGUAGAAUUCUAAUAUGAAAUGCUGAGUUCGUAAAUGCCCAAAAUGUUAGUGUAAUUAAUUAUUGAUGUGCAAUAUCACAUUAUGACCAUUUGUACAGUAUUUAAAAAAAAAAAUCUAUAUCAACCAUAUGUACCAUAUAUCUCAUCAAAUGACAUCUCAAUGAAAACCAUACACUGUAUUUCUGAGUUAUUCAAUCCCAUGAUACAGAAAGCAUCCUGCAGCUUAGCUCCCAUAGUUUCUGAGCCGUGUCAUCAUCUGAAGCAGGCCGUGAGCAGGUGGCUGGUGCACAGUCGCUGUGGGCAAACAGAGAAGAUGCUCAUGUCUCUAACACAGUUUACUAUAAAAUACUAUAUACAAUAAUAUUAAACAAGUGAAAAUGUCAUCUUUACUCAUUUAUUAAUGAAGCUGGAAUAAUCUCAUUCGUAGAUGUAUUCUUUCAAAACUAAAUAUAUAUACAUUAUAUACAUAGAGUUGAAGUCAGAAGUUUACAUACACCUGAGCCAAAUACAUUUAAACUCAGUUUUUCACAAUUCCUGACAUUUAAUCCUAGUAAAAAUUCCCUGUCUUAGGUCAGUUAGGAUCACCACUUGAUUUUAUGAAUGUGAAAUGUCAGAAAAAUAUAUUUCUUUCAGCUUUUAUUUCUUUCAUCACAUUCCCAGUGGGUCAGAAGUUUACAUACACUCAAUUAGUAUUUGAUAGCAUUGCCUUUAAAUGGUUUAACUUGGGUCAAACGUUUCGGGUAGCCUUCCACAAGCUUCUCACAAUAAGUUGGGUGAAUUUUGGCCCAUUCCUCCUGACAGAGCUGGUGAAACUGAGUCAGGUUUGUAGGCCUCCUUGCUCACACACACUUUUUCAGUUCUGCCCACACAUUUUCUAUAGGAUUGAGGUCAGGGCUUUGUGACUCCAAUACCUUGACUUGGUUGUCCGUAAGCCAUUUUGCCACAACUUUGUAAGUAUGCUUGGGGUCAUUGUCCAUUUGGAAGACCCAUUUGAGACCAAGCUUUAACUUCCUGACUGAUGUCUUGAGAUGUUGCUUCAAUAUAUCCACAUAAUUUCCCUCCCUCAUGAUGCCAUCUAUUUUGUGUGUGCACCAGUCCCUCCUGCAGCAAAGCACCCCUACAACAUGGUGCUGCCACCCCAGUGCUUCACGGUUCGGAUGGUGUUCUUUGGCUUGCAAUCCUCCCCCUUUUUCGUCCAAACAUAACGAUGGUCAUUAUGGCCAAACAGUUCUAUUUUUUGUUUCAUCGGACCAGAGGACAUUUCUCCAAAAAGUACAAUCUUUGUCCCCAUGUGCAGUUGCAAACCGUAGUCUGGCUUUUUUAUGGCAGUGGCUUCUUCCUUGCUGAGCGGCCUUUCAGGUUAUGUCAAUAUAGGACUCGUUUUACUGUGGAUAUAGACACUUUUGUACCUAUUUCCUCCAGCAUCUUCACAAGGUCCUUUGCUGUUGUUCUGGGAUUGAUUUGUGCUUUUCGCACCAAAGUACAUUAGUUUCUAGGAGACCGAAAGCGUCUCCUUCCUGAGCAGUUUUAAUUUUAAUUUUACCUUUAUUUAACCAGGCAAGUCAGUUAAGAACAAAUUCUUAUUUUCAAUGAUGGCCUAGGAACAGUGGGUUAACUGCCUGUUCAGGGGCAGAACAACAGAUUUGUACCUUGUCAGCUCGGGGGUUUGAACUUGCAACCUUCCGGUUACUAGUCCAACACUCUAACCACUAGGCUACCCUGCCGCCGUAUGACGUCUGCAUGGUCCCAUGGUGUUUAUACUUGCGUACUAUUGUUUGUACAGAUGAACGUGGUACCUUCAGGCGUUUGUAAAUUGCUCCCAAGGAUGAACCAGACUUGUGGAGGUCUACAAUUUUUUUUCUGAGGUCUUCUUUCUUUUGAUUUUCCCAUGAUGUCAAGCAAAGAGGCACUGAGGCACUGAGUUUGAAGGUAGGCCUUGAAAUACAUCUAAGGUACACCUCCAAUUGACUCAAAUGAUGUCAAUUAGCCUAUCAGAAGCGUCUAAGGCCAUGACAUCAUUUUCUGGAAUUUUCCAAGCUGUUUAAAGGCAAAGUCAACUUAGUGUAUGUAGACUUCUGACCCACUGGAAUUGUGAUACAGUGAAUUUUAAGUUAAAUAAUCUGUCUGUAAACAAUUGUUUACAACAAUUGUUGGAAAAAUGACUUGUGUCAUGCACAAAGUAGAUGUCCUAACCGACUUGCCUAUAUAGUUCACAAACUAUAGUUUGUGAACAAGACAUUUGUGGAGUUGUUAUAAAACAAGUUUUUAUGACUCCGACCUAAGUGUAUGUAAACUUCCAACUUCAACUGUGGGCUACUAUGGUGAUCAUAGGUUUUGGCUACUAUGGUGACCAUAGGUUAUAGCUACUAUGGUGACCAUAGGUUAUGGCUACUAUGGUGACCAUAGGUUAUGGCUACUAUGGUGACCAUAGGUUAUAGCUACUAUGUCUGUGUAGAUUGCUGAGGGUUUCUUUAUUUUUUAAUCCAUUUUAGAAUACGGCUGUAACAAAAUGUGGGAAAAAGUCAAGGGUCUGAAUUCUUUCCGAAGGCACUGUAUCAUCAAACUUCUCAUCAGGUCUUGCUUGACUAACACCCAGCCUAAUGUUUGUUAUCUUAUCUCUGAAGCAUGCCGCAAACUCAUCACAUUUAUACGUGGAAGGAAGUUCACAUAGGUUUGCUGGGGUAGGAAUAAUCAGGCCAUCAAUGAUCGAGAAGAGCACUCUUCUGAUAAUUCUGAUAAUUAGUGAUCAAAUCAGAGAAAUUUGCCCUUCUGUCAUUUCUAAUUGCCUUAUUCCCGAUGCCAAGUUGAUCUCACAGAAUAUCAUAAUGGACCUGCAACUUUGACUUUCUCCACUUCCUCUCCGCCUGUCUGCAAUUUCUCUUUAAUUUAUUCAUUUUCUCUCUCAUUGUCACGACUUCCGCUGAAGUUGGCUCUCCUGCCUAUUCGGGCGGUGCUCGGCGGUCGUCGUCACCGUCCUACUAGCCACUACCGAUCCCUUUUUCGUUUGUCUGUUGGUUUUGUCUUAUUAGUUUCACCUGUGUGUAUUUUAGUUUAAUUAACGUCCUUAUAUGUAGUAGGUUGUCCCGCUCUUGUUUUGUGCGGGAUUGUUUUUGUAUUCAUGUCAUUUGGUGUAGCACUUGUGUUUUAUUCUCCGGUCUAUUUUGAUCCUGUGUUGGAUUAUUCACCAUGUGUGUUGGGUUAUUCACCCUGUGUGUUGGGUUAUUCACCCUGUGUGUUGGGUUAUUCACCCUGUGUGUUGGGUUAUUCACCCUGUGUGUUGGAUUAUUCACCCUGUGUGUUGGGUUGACUGUGUUUUUGUGUG